rnacentral:misc_RNA from 1 species
GAUGAAGAACGUAGCGGAAUGCGAUAAUUAAUGUGAAUUGCAGAAUUUAGUGAAUCAUCGAAUCUUUGAACGCACAUUGCGCCCCUUGGUAUUCCGGGGGGCAUGCCUGUUCGAGCGUCAUUUCAACCCUCAAGCACUGCUUGGUCUUGGGCCACGCCGGCGACGGCAGGCCUCAAACGUAGUGGCGGCACCAUCGGUUCCCUCAGUGUAGUAAUAUCUCUCGCUGCUGGGCCCUGGUGGUCGCUAGCCAGCACCCUCAAUUUUUUCUGGUUGACCUCGGAUCAGGUAGGGAUACCCGCUGAACUUAAGCAUAUCAAUAAGCGGAGGA